rnacentral:rRNA from 1 species
UGCGCAGGCGGACCGGUAAGUCAGAUGUGAAACCCCGAGGCUUAACCCCGGGACUGCAUUUGAUACUGUCGGUCUUGAGUACGAGAGAGGGAAGCGGAAUCCCAGGUGUAGCGGUGAAAUGCGUAGAUAUCUGGGAGAACACCGGUGGCGAAGGCGGCUUCCUGGCUCGAUACUGACGCUCAUGCACGAAGGCUAGGGGAGCAAACA